rnacentral:rRNA from 1 species
UACGGAGGGUGCGAGCGUUGUCCGGAAUCAUUGGGCGUAAAGGGCGCGUAGGUGGCGGGACAAGCGUGCGGUGAAAGCUCGGGGCUCAACCCCGAGUCGGCCGUGCGAACUGUCUUGCUUGAGCACUGUAGAGGCAGGCGGAAUUCCGGGUGUAGCGGUGGAAUGCGUAGAGAUCCGGAAGAACACCGGUGGCGAAGGCGGCCUGCUGGGCAGUGGCUGACACUGAGGCGCGACAGCGUGGGGAGCAAACAGG